rnacentral:rRNA from 1 species
AUUGAACGCUGGCGGCAUGCCUUACACAUGCAAGUCGAACGGUAGAGGAGCAAUCCUCGAGAGUGGCGAACGGGUGAGUAAUGCAUCGGAACGUGCCCAGGAAUGGGGGAUAGCACGGCGAAGGCCGGAUUAAUACCGCAUACGACCGAAGGGUGAAAGAGGGGGAUCGCAAGCCCGCUCGGUAUUGGAGCGGCCGAUGUCAGAUUAGGUAGUUGGUGGGGUAAAGGCCUACCAAGCCAACGAUCUGUAGCUGGUCUGAGAGGACGACCAGCCACACUGGGACUGAGACACGGCCCAGACUCCUACGGGAGGCUGCAGUGGGGAAUUUUGGACAAUGGGCGCAAGCCUGAUCCAGCCAUGCCGCGUGCGGGAAGAAGGCCUUCGGGUUGUAAACCGCUUUUGUCAGGGAAGAAAUCUUCUGGGUUAAUACCUCGGGAGGAUGACGGUACCUGAAGAAUAAGCACCGGCUAACUACGUGCCAGCCGCCGCCGUAA